AUGAUGGCAAGUCAUGUCACUGAUGCUGGAGUUAUGGAUAUUUAUGCUACUGUGCCCAGAGAAGUUAGUCCGGAGGCAAGUGAUUGGGGGGGACAAAUAUCGGCAAAAGAAGCAAGUUCAAAGUGUGAAACAAGGCAUGUCCAGGCAGGAGAAACAGAGCAGGCAAAGAAUAUUCAGAGAGAAGAAGUAUGGCAUGUUCGGAGAGAGGAAACAGAGCAUUUCCAGGCACAAGAAACAGAGCAAAUUCAGCAGUGUGGCAAGGUGUCAAAACUACCAGUUUUCAGGCCUUCAAAAUCAUUUGUGAACAGAGAAAAAGGAAAAGCAACUGAGAAGAUGGCUACUGCAGAUGAUAGCGACAGUGAUAGUGACAGUGAUUAUGAUGCUCCUCCAUCAGAGAGCAACAGUUCUGCAGAUGAUGAUGAGAUGAUUGAGUACAGAAAAUAUGCUCAAUAA
rnacentral:rRNA from 1 species